UAAACCGUUUGUUAACUAACACUGGAUUUGGUAUGUCUUGUUCUGUGCCUCUGCUACUGCUCCGCAACUGCUGAGAGCUGAAAGAAUUGCUUGAUUUCGAUUCGAAGAGGACGUGAGAGAGAGAGAGAGAGAGAGAGAGAUGCUAUGUACUA